rnacentral:rRNA from 1 species
UACAGGGGGUGCAAACGUUGCUCGGAAUCAUUGGGCGUAAAGCGCACGUAGGCGGUUCGUCAUGUCGGAUGUGAAAGCCCUUGGCUUAACCGAGGAAGUGCAUCCGAAACUGGCGAGCUAGAGUACUAAAGAGGAUCGCGGAAUUCCCGGUGUAGAGGUGAAAUUCGUAGAUAUCGGAAGGAACACCAGUGGCGAAAGCGGCUUCCUGGUCCGACACCGACGUUCAGGCACGAAAGCGUGGGGAGCAAACAGG